rnacentral:rRNA from 1 species
CAGUAGCCGCGGUAAUACGUAGGUGGCAAGCGCUGUCCGGAAUUAUUGGGCGUAAAGGGCUCGCAGGCGGUUUCUUAAGUCUGAUGUGAAAGCCCCCGGCUCAACCGGGGAGGGUCAUUGGAAACUGGGAAACUUGAGUGCAGAAGAGGAGAGUGGAAUUCCACGUGUAGCGGUGAAAUGCGUAGAGAUGUGGAGGAACACCAGUGGCGAAGGCGACUCUCUGGUCUGUAACUGACGCUGAGGAGCGAAAGCGUGGGGAGCGAACAGGAUUAGAUACCCCGGUAGUCCCUGUCUCUUAUAC